GCCUGAUGCAGCGACGCCGCGUGAGGGAUGACGGCCUUCGGGUUGUAAACCUCUUUCAGUAGGGAAGAAGCGAAAGUGACGGUACCUGCAGAAGAAGCACCGGCUAACUACGUGCCAGCAGCCGCGGUAAUACGUAGGGUGCGAGCGUUAUCCGGAAUUAUUGGGCGUAAAGAGCUCGUAGGCGGUUUGUCGCGUCUGUCGUGAAAGUCCGGGGCUUAACCCCGGAUCUGCGGUGGGUACGGGCAGACUAGAGUGCAGUAGGGGAGACUGGAAUUCCUGGUGUAGCGGUGGAAUGCGCAGAUAUCAGGAGGAACACCGAUGGCGAAGGCAGGUCUCUGGGCUGUAACUGACGCUGAGGAGCGAAAGCAUGGGGAGCGAACAGGAUUAGAUACCCUGGUAGUCCAUGCCGUAAACGUUGGGCACUAGGUGUGGGGACCAUUCCACGGUUUCCGCGCCGCAGCUAACGCAUUAAGUGCCCCGCCUGGG
rnacentral:rRNA from 1 species